rnacentral:rRNA from 1 species
UACGUAGGGUCCGAGCGUUGUCCGGAAUUAUUGGGCGUAAAGGGCUCGUAGGCGGUUUGUUGCGUCGGCUGUGAAAUCCCGAGGCUCAACCUCGGGUCUGCAGUCGAUACGAGCAAACUAGAGUGUUGCAGGGGAGACUGGAAUUCCUGGUGUAGCGGUGAAAUGCGCAGAUAUCAGGAGGAACACCGAUGGCGAAGGCAGCUCGCUGGGACGGUACUGACGCUGAGGCGCGAAAGCGUGGGGAGCAAACAGG